AGCAUUUUUUCCCUUUGCUCUGUUAGGAGUUUGUGAGCCGUGAUCACUAGCUUUCAUGUGAAGGUCUGAAACAACAUGAGGGGUGGUAACCUAAGCUGUCCUGCAUUUGGCGUUUUAAUGUGUCCAUUCCUGUUCUUGAUUGCACUUGGAGGUCACCGGGAUCUAAAGUCACUGGAAGCAGUUAAAAUAAUAGGAGCUGACCACAUGUUGGAGGUUAUGAGAUGUGGCCCCCCGACAUACAGAGAAGCCGCUGAAAAACCCUCUGCUGCAACAUUGUUGUUGUGUCUCGCUGACCUGUUUGUUUAAAACUUACACAAAUAUUUGUAUAAACUGAUUUACAGCAAACAUUUGAUGCAAGUUAUUGCUGAUAUAUGAAUGCAAAUACGCAAAACCACAUAAACGAAGCUCUUUCUCCUUUUA